UACAGAGGUCCCGAGCGUUGUUCGGAUUCACUGGGCGUAAAGGGUGCGCAGGUGGGUUGGCAAGUUUGAUGUGAAAGCCCCGGGCUUAACCCGGGAAUGGCAUUGAAUACUGCUGAUCUGGAGGAUCGGAGGGGGGACUGGAAUUCUUGGUGUAGCAGUGAAAUGCGUAGAUAUCAAGAGGAACACCAGUGGCGAAGGCGAGUCCCUGGACGAUACCUGACACUGAGGCACGAAAAGCCGGGGGAGCAAACAGG
rnacentral:rRNA from 1 species